GCUCAGUUGGUAGAGCAUGGCGCUUGCAAUGCUAGGGUUGUGGGUUCGAUUCCCAC
rnacentral:tRNA from 1 species